UACGUAGGGCGCAAGCGUUGUCCGGAAUUAUUGGGCGUAAAGAGCUCGUAGGCGGUCUGUCGCGUCCGUUGUGAAAACUCGAGGCUCAACCUCGGGCUUGCAGUGGAUACGGGCAGACUAGAGUGCGGUAGGGGGAGACUGGAAUUCCUGGUGUAGCGGUGAAAUGCGCAGAUAUCAGGAGGAACACCGGUGGCGAAGGCGGCACUCUGGGCCGGAACUGACGCUGAGGAGCGAAAGCGUGGGUAGCGAACAGG
rnacentral:rRNA from 1 species